GGAGCCAUAGCUCAGUGCUAGAGCAUCUGCUUUGCAUGCAGAAGGUCCCAGGUCCAAUUCCCAACAUAUCUA